CCCUCAAUGGCUGAAUGGCAAAGGUGGCUAUUUUAGAGAUAGUUCUUUACCGGUUCAAAUCCGAAAUCAUGAC
rnacentral:tRNA from 1 species